rnacentral:lncRNA from 1 species
CGCGCGAUGGCAGCCGGGCUUGCAGAGGCAGUCUGGAGCGAGCUGGCCUAUUCCCCUACCACUCACGACCUCGUCUCGGGGCCUCUCCCAGGCAGGUCCUAACCCCCUCUGGGCGGGUGAGCUUCGUGGAGGGCUGCUGGGAUCGCCACUUCCAACCCGCGAACUUCUGCUUUCUCAGGUUCCGCCCUGGCUGCCCGCUCGCCCCGGGACUCCGCAGGCGAGAGACUCCCACCCCGAGACAGCCCCCUCCAUUCCGCAGCCCGGGCAGGAGGAUCAGGCGAAGGGGCAUGUAAGGGCGGCCUGGAGCUGCUGCGAGGGCCGCGGGGGCGCGGCAAGACAGCUGGGGUGCACGCUCGGCAGGGGCGCGGGUCUCCAAGGCGGCUGCAGUGCGACGCCGGGCUGGGUCCCGGCUCCUCCCCGCCUUCCCCCCGCCCGGGCCCAGCCGCCGGAGGAGGAGCCAGUUGUUCGCCGCCGCCGGCGCGAACCUGGGGAUGCGUGUUCCCUGCGGUUUCCAAAAGGGCUCGAAGAAGGAAAGAAGCCAGGAGAGAGGAAUGAGGGGAAGGAGGGGAAAAACCUUAAAAGGUUGAAGUCUCCGCAGCGACUGUUUGCGCUUGGCCUUCGCCUGCGUGACCCUUCCCCCAUCCUUCCAAGCUUCUCAUCUCUGCUGACUGUCCAGGUCACCUGGGGGCGGGAGCGGUGCUUUGGAAGAGUUGAUUACCCCCACUCAGGUGCAUGGGCCAGGGAGUGGUGAGGGCCGGGCCACGUCUGAAUGUGUAACGGAGAGAGAUCUGCUGGCAGAACUGCAGGAGGCUCCAGGGGCCUGUGAAGUGACCAGCCAGGAAAGCGCUCAGUCGGGGGCCACUGCCUCUCUGACCAGCAGGCUGUCCUGAGAGAGACCACGUGAAAGUAAGAUCCAUUCAGGAACGCCCCUGUCAGCUUCUCCAGCCCCCCAACUCCUAUUCACCCUCAGGGCCACCUCCUGGACAGCCUUCCUUGAUUUCCUCCCUCUCCCGCUCAGAGACUCCCACAUUCUCCUUGCAUCUGAUUGAAUGUUGG